GGAGAGACUUCCUUUCCUCUAUCAAUGGAGUACUCGAUUAUACUGUGGGAUUUUUUCUGAAAUCCUUAGACACGUUUGUUGUCAAGGGUGUGGUGUGAGGGAGGGUUAGAUGCCC
rnacentral:ncRNA from 1 species